rnacentral:rRNA from 1 species
UACAGAGGUCUCAAGCGUUGUUCGGAUUCAUUGGGCGUAAAGGGUGCGUAGGUGGCGCGCUAAGUCGGGUGUGAAAUCUCGGAGCUUAACUCCGAAAUUGCAUUCGAUACUGGCGUGCUUGAGGACUGGAGAGGAGACUGGAAUUCAUGGUGUAGCAGUGAAAUGCGUAGAGAUCAUGAGGAAGACCAGUGGCGAAGGCGGGUCUCUGGACAGUUCCUGACACUGAGGCACGAAGGCCAGGGGGAGCAAACGGG